rnacentral:lncRNA from 1 species
GAUGACAAGAUAAUAGCUACUAUUAAAAUAGAUAACUUCUUACUUAAAAAUUUUGUUUAGCUAAAAAGUUUAUAAAAAUUUUAGUCAAAGUCAACAAUUAAUUAUAAUCACACAUAAUAGUGACUCACAACAUUUAUCAGCUUUUUUCAACCAAACAUUUUAUCAACUUUUACCACAGCAUGCUGAAAAUCUUAAGCAAAACCAAAUACGAUUUAAUAUGUUCAGAAAAAAAUUUACUUUAAAGUAGCCUUUAUCUACUUUUUAGCUAGACGAAAUCUACCCUUAAUUAUUUUGCCUCUUAAUUCUUUCUUGUAUAAUUGUUAAAUGGUGUGCGAUCACUUCUUCAUCAACUUUUAUCAAAAUCUAUUAAAAAAUUAAUUUUCAACAAAAUCAAAUGUGUUUAAUAUGUUUAGAUAAAAAAGUUAUUUAAAAGUAACAUUUACCUAAAUUUUAGCUAGACAGGUAAAUAUUUAACUAAUUUUUAAUAUUUUGUCUCAUAAUUCUUUCUUCUACAAUUGUUAAAUGGUGUAACAUCACUUCCUUCGUGGUUUAGACACUUUAUGCUUACAGAAUCACUUUAUCACAUAUAUGUUCUAUUGACAUAUUUGAUUUAUUGGAUCUGAAAAUAAUAAAAAGAUCAAAGAAUAAAAAAAAAAAGUAAUAUCUGCCAUGCCAUGAUAUCCAGUAUAGUGAAUACCAAACGUGUUGCAUAGUUCUUCAUGCUUUUCAAUUUUUUGAUAUCAAGAAUUUUGGGAUCAUUUUUCACAUAGUUGACAUACAAUGUCAAGAAAUAAAAACACAUCAAAUUGGGAAAGGUAUGAUCAUUGAUUAAAAAAACUUACUAGGCAUGUAGAUUUGAUGAUUGUGCCAGGAUCAUAAUCUUGAAGGUUUGUGCCCUCAAUAGCUGAAAGGAUCACGUCCAUAAAAUCCUGCUUACUACCAGAAUUUGCCUUUUGCUUGUGCUCUUCCAACCAUUUCUCAACAAUUUUAUCCAUUUCUUUUCCAGUUUCUUUCAUUUUUUUCUCAUAUCCACCUAUAUCCAACCAUCUAAGGUAAGGGAUAUUAUCAGCCACAAUAAAAAUUCCAGUUAAAUGAAAGAAAUCCCUCAACACUUUCUGGCACUGCCUUGCCUCUAUUUUAUCCCCAUCAACAGUUGCACCAAAAUAUCUCUUCCCUGCAACCAUUCUGAGAAUAACAUUCAAAUUCAAGUCCCCGAACCACUGCUUCAUUUCCACCAAAACCCGACCCGACCCAUCUUUCUUCUCGUUCCAGUACUUGUAAAGCUCUUGUAUGGAUACCUAUUAAAGACAGGAUUUAAACGGAUACAAUUUCGCAUUUAUCUAAUUGCUUUUAGAUGAUUUUGUUAAAUAGUAGACAAAAUACUAUAGUUUAAGUUUCACUACCUCGAAUUUAUAAAAAUUAUGCACAUAUCAUACCUUUGAUCAUUGAUAAUAAUCCAGUCUCGAGAUGAAUGGCAUGUUGGAGACGCAAUUGAAAUAAAUACAUGUGGUCAUUCUCUAUGAUCUUAAGCUUUAAAAUAAGUUGGUUGACAAUACCUCAGUUUCGUAAACACGUAUGUGUUGAAGGAGACCCAGUCUGCGGGGAGAGAAUAAUUCCACGGCUAUUAGUUUUCGUAGUUCACGCCAAUAGGUGCCAUAAGGGGAGAAUCCAAACAUGGCGAAGUCAUAGCCUAUGUGCUUGGCUGCAAGAAAUUUUGGACGUGAAGAUAUAAUCACAUCCCAGGUGGUGAACAAUUCUUUAGCCAAUUCCCAGUUGUUCACCACUAGAGCUUUGUGUACUCCGAGCCGGAUUGUAAAGACUGGUCCAUACUUGUCCGCCAUUGCCGCCAGGGUGAUGUGUGGAAGACGUGAACCGCCGCCUAUGAGGUGGAGGUGGCCUAUAAUUGGCCAUGCGCCACCAGCUUCCGGCGGUGAACUGUUUUUGCUAGCUUUAGACCUAGAUUUCCAAUAAAAAAUCAAAAGUAGCGCAAAUAUUGCAGCUAUGGAAGAAUUGAGAUGUGAGACCGAGAAUUCCAUGGUUGUCUUGACCAAAGAUGGGUUUCCUAGUUAAUUUGUUACUGUGACCUGGGGGCUCAUAUAUAAGCAAGCAAGCAUGCUCGGCUAAGCAUAAAAAGUUUGCUUAUAAAUAAGUAAGUUAUGAAUAAACUAUUUUUUAAUAAUAAAAGUUGAAAAAUAGUAAAUUACUUAUUUUGAGAGUGGUAAUUGUUACUUUUAAAAUAAUAAAUUUUUAUUACUUAAAAGGAAAUACUAAAUUAUCCAUACACGUUUGAAAAAAAUACAUUUUUAUAUACUUAAAACAGUCUUAAAAAUAUUACGGUGCAUUUGAUUUGCGUUUCUGUUUUUUGUUUUAAUGGAUAAUUUUAAGAUUGCAUAAAACGAGUUGGUUUGUUAUUCUAAAAAACUACUUACAAAAAAUAUAUGUACAUAUUAAAAAAAAAAAGAAACAAAAGAAAAAGAUAGAGGAAUCAUUGUAAGAUUGAGUUUUGCCUCUUAAUUCUUUCUUGUAUAAUUGUUAAAUGGUGUGCGAUCACUUCUUCAUCAACUUUUAUCAAAAUCUAUUAAAAAAUUAAUUUUCAACAAAAUCAAAUGUGUUUAAUAUGUUUAGAUAAAAAAGUUAUUUAAAAGUAACGUUUACCUAAAUUUUAGCUAGACAGGUAAAUAUUUAACUAAUUUUUAAUAUUUUGUCUCAUAAUUCUUUCUUCUACAAUUGUUAAAUGGUGUAACAUCACUUCCUUCGUGGUUUAGACACUUUAUGCUUACAGAAUCACUUUAUCACAUAUAUGUUCUAUUGACAUAUUUGAUUUAUUGGAUCUGAAAAUAAUAAAAAGAUCAAAGAAUAAAAAAAAAAAGUAAUAUCUGCCAUGCCAUGAUAUCCAGUAUAGUGAAUACCAAACGUGUUGCAUAGUUCUUCAUGCUUUUCAAUUUUUUGAUAUCAAGAAUUUUGGGAUCAUUUUUCACAUAGUUGACAUACAAUGUCAAGAAAUAAAAACACAUCAAAUAGGGAAAGGUAUGAUCAUUGAUUAAAAAAACUUACUAGGCAUGUAGAUUUGAUGAUUGUGCCAGGAUCAUAAUCUUGAAGGUUUGUGCCCUCAAUAGCUGAAAGGAUCACGUCCAUAAAAUCCUGCUUACUACCAGAAUUUGCCUUUUGCUUGUGCUCUUCCAACCAUUUCUCAACAAUU